rnacentral:rRNA from 1 species
GACGAACGCUGGCGGCGCGCUUAACACAUGCAAGUCGAACGGAAAGGCCUGCUUUCCCUUGUGGAUUGCGGGUACUCGAGUGGCGAACGGGUGAGUAACACGUGAGUGAUCUGCCCCCAACUUGGGUAUAAGCCUGGGAAACUGGGUCUAAUUCCCGAUAGGACUGCAGGGUGGUGCCUGUGGUGGAAAACGAUUUUCUAGUGGUUGGGGAUGAGCUCGCGGCCUAUCAGCUUGUUGGUGGGGUAAUGGCCUACCAAGGCGGCGACGGGUAGCCGGCCUGAGAGGGUGGACGGCCACAUUGGGACUGAGAUACGGCCCAGACUCCUACGGGAGGCAGCAGUGGGGAAUAUUGCGCAAUGGGCGGAAGCCUGAUGCAGCGACGCCGCGUGGGGGAUGACGGCCUUCGGGUUGUAAACUCCUUUCGACCGCGAGGAAGCCACCUGGUUGGAAGGGUGGUGACGGUAGUGGUAGAAGAAGCACCGGCUAACUACGU